GACGAACGCUGGCGGCGUGCUUAACCCAUGUAAGUCGAACGGUGUGGCGAACGGGUGAGUAACACGUGGGUGAUCUGCCUUGCACUUCGGGAUAAGCUUGGGAAACUGGGUCUAAUACCGGAUAGUGCAAGAUGAGCUCGCGGCCUAUCGGCAUGUUGGUUGGGUAAUGGCCUCACAAGGCGUCGAAGGGUAGCCGGCCUGAGAGGGUGUACGGCCACAUUGGGACUGAGAUACGGCCCAGACACUUACGGGAGGCAGCAGUGGGGAAUAGUGCUCAAUGGGCGGAAACCUGAUGCAGCGACGCAGCGUGGGGGAUGAAGGCCUUCGGGUUGUAAACUCCUUUCGACAGGGACGCGGUACCUGAAUAAGAAGCACCGGCUAACAACGUGCCAGCCGGCGCGGUAAUAC
rnacentral:rRNA from 1 species